rnacentral:rRNA from 1 species
UACGUAGGGUGCUAGCGUUGUCCGGAUUUAUUGGGUUUAAAGGGUGCGUAGGCGGUUUAUUAAGUCAGGGGUGAAAGACGGCAGCUUAACUGUCGCAGUGCCCUUGAUACUGAUGGGCUUGAAUGAACUAGAGGUAGGCGGAAUGUGACAAGUAGCGGUGAAAUGCAUAGAUAUGUCACAGAACACCAAUUGCGAAGGCAGCUUACUAUGGUUUUAUUGACACUGAGGCACGAAAGCGUGGGGAUCAAACAGG